rnacentral:lncRNA from 1 species
GUCGGUUCUUUUCAGUAAAUGAGCCAAAUGGUUACGCAAAGUCUGAAUGAGGGACACUUCAGAACACAAAAGUGAAAGAGGAUAUUAACCUACCAUCAGCUGAAAUAAAUAGUUCUUCAUGUUUGUGCAAAGGCCUGUACUGAGAAGUACCAUGAAAGGAUCGCUGUUACUGCAUUUACUUUUCCAAGGAGUGCUGUUGUAUGAUGCUUUGGCAUGGGAAGUGAAAAUGCCCAAAGACAUUCACGGCCUCAAAGGUUCCUGCUUGGUUAUACCAUGUUCUUACUACUACAGCUCAAACCCACCCCAAAACCCAGGUAGAGUUGUGUGGUAUCAGUGGGUUUCUUUUGGCUACCCUUUAGUUUACGAUCCAUUGCAUCCAAAAAAAGUCAUUGAGAAGUUCAGAGGGAAAACGGAUUUAUUUGGAAGCUCAAGUUGGGAUUGCAGUCUACUGAUCAAAAAUCUGGAUCAGGUCCAUCAUGGAGAGUUAGUAUAUGCAUGGAUUGACCCUGAAAAUGUUGGCUGGCGCACAUUCAGGUUUUAUGAUGUCACCUCCAUAAUUCUUGUUAAUGCAAGUCCACAGCAGCCCAGCAUCAAGAUCUAUGGAGGUGUAUGGACAGGUGACACCAUUACAGUAGUGUGUUCGACUUUACACACGUGUCCAUACAGCAAACCAAACAUCACUCUCAACAACAUCGAAGGAUCUGAUGAAAUGGACAAUGAGCAUAUUGAAGACGGCCUGUGGAAAAUCACUCUGACACGCACAUCUGUCACAAAUGCAGAAAAUGCCACUAUUGAGUGUUCAGUAAUAUAUUAUGGCGGCAUAACAGUUACAGCUAUGAAGAGCAUAAACGCACAAUCUCCUGACCAUGAAGAAGCAGACGUGCCCGUUCCAAAUAAGACUGACUGGCUUUACAUCCUAGUGCCCUCACUUGUGUGCAUCCUUACUUGCAUACUUGCUGGUUUCAUACACAAGUUUCGACACAGACAGACCCCUGAGGAUGAUAUGCAAGGAUCUGAACAGAAGGUUGAGGCGUCGCUAGUGAGGGAAAAAGUGACAUUGAGUAUUGGGGGCCCAGAACUAUCGGAAGGUCCACAACGAUCCAUCAAAAGUGCCUUAGCAGUUUCUACCGAAAAGCUUUUUCUAACAACUGCAAUUUUGAGCGGGCAGGACUGUCUUCUCACGCUCCAGACAUCUGAGUACUGUACGGAGGACCUGGAAAACCCAGCGACACCCCGGUCUGCAGGUGAUGAGGGGGACUCACUUGAACAAAAACGUUUCAUUGUAGCAGAAUGA